GCCCUUUUCCGGUUGAUCCCGCCGGAGGCCAUUGCUAUCGGGGUCCGACUUAGCCAUGCUAGUCCAACGAGCUCACGCUCGUGGCAAACAGCUCAGUAACACGUGGCCAAGCUACCCUGUGGACGAGCAUACCCUCGGGAAACUGAGAACAAUACUCGAUACCGCUCGACGCCUGCAACGGCCCGAGCCACAAACGUCCCGACGCCACAGGAUGCGGCUGCGGCCGAUUAGGUCGACGGUGGGGUAACGGCCCACCGUGCCCAUAAUCGGUACGGGUCAUGACAGUGAGAACCCGGAGACGGACUCUGAGACAAGAGUCCGGGCCCUACGGGGCGCAGCAGGCGCGAAACCUCUACACUGCACGACAGUGCGAUAAGGGGACCCCGAGUGCGAAGGCAUAGCGCCUUCGCUUUUCUGGACCGUAAGAACGUCCACGAAUAAGGGCUGGGCAAGACCGGUGCCAGCCGCCGCGGUAAUACCGGCAGCCCAAGUGAUGGCCGAUAUUAUUGGGCCUAAAGCGUCCGUAGCUCGCCGCGCACCUCCGUCGGAAAAUCCACACGCCCAACGUGUGAACAACCGACCGAAACGACGCGGCUCGGGACCGGAAGGCGCGACGGGUACGUCCAGGGUAGGAGUGAAAUCCCAUAAUCCCGGACGGACCACCGAUGGCGAAAGCACGUCGCGAACACGGAUCCGACAGUGAGGGACGAAAGCUGGGGUCUCCAACCGGAUUAGAUACCCGGGUAGUCCCAGCCGUAAACGAUGCCUGUUAGGUGUGGCACCCGCUAC
rnacentral:rRNA from 1 species